CCUACGGGAGGCAGCAGUCGGGAAUAUUGCGCAAUGGACGAAACUCUGACGCAGCGACGCCGCGUAAGGGAAGAAGGUUUUCGGAUUGUAAACUAUUGUCGUUAGGGAAGAAAAAAGACUGUACCUAAGGAGGAAGCACCGGCUAACUAUGUGCCAGCAGCCGCGGUAAUACAUAGGGGGCAAGCGUUAGCCGGACUUAUUGGGUGUAAAGGGUGCGUAGACGGAAGAAUAAGUUGGUUGUGAAAUCCCUCGGCUCAACUGAGGAACUGCAACGAAAACUAUUCUCCUUGAGUGUCGGAGAGGAAAGUGGAAGUCCAAGUGUAGCGGUGAAAUGCGUAGAUAUAUGGAGGAACACCAGUGGCGAAGGCGACUCUCUGGACGAUAACUGACGUUGAGGCACGAAAGUGUGGGGAGCAAACAGGAUUAGAUACCCGGGUAGUC
rnacentral:rRNA from 1 species